ACGGGCACGGGGCGGGAAGAGGGGUCCGUCAGUGGCGUUUUUAGCUUGCACCCCGCCACGCAGAUUCUCCCUGGCCGGAGAGGAGGAGGGUGGAGGGAGGGCGGAGAAGCCUCGAUUUCUCUGCACGUUCGGGAACGCCUUCUCCCCCUUCGUUCUCCCAUUCCCAGUCUUUUCCCGCUCCUCUCCGGUCUCACCUGUUUAUUUCCGUCAGCUGGAGCUCGCGGUUUUUUAUAUGGGCAUGAGAGUCUGUUUCUUUUAUUAGAAACAUUAUUGGGGAGAGGGGUGCGUUGCUGUAAUAUGUGCCGGUCCAGGUCGGUUUUCAGGCAGGGGGAGGGGACUUGGCGGAGACGCCGGCUUCUGGCCGCAGCUGACCCCAGGGCUUCUCCCUGCCUUCCCGUACGAGGAAUUCUUUCCCUCACUCUGCUACCCGCACACCAGCUGCCACCUUCCUGGAGAAAGACCACACCUGUGCUUAUCCCCGCUUUGGAGGAGAGCCUCACCACUUGCUGGGCUCUGAUCCUUCUUUUUCUUCUGCCUCCUCACGUCUCCAACCAGAAGGGGAUCUUUUAGUCCUUCACUUCAUGGGGAGCCUUCAGAGAGAGUAAUGCAGCCACCAGAAAGGAUGCCGUUUACCGACACAGUGACUGACAGGCUGCCCUGGCUCAGUUAUCACAGUGCUGAUGCUGUCCAUUCUAAAGGUACAGUACUGUGAUAACUGAAGGAUGGCAGCCAUCUUGCCUUCCAUCAGAGGAGCCUCAUCGUGCCCAGGAAGAAAGAAGGCGAAAGAGCAAUGUGAAACAGGUGGCCGGGACCCAGAAACCCUCUUACCCUGCGCCUCUGUCGUAUUUUUUCCUGGGGCGUAGGGAGAGUUAUUCUGCUUCUCUUUGCCUUGUUUUGUAAAAUGGGAUAGUUGUUGGAACAGCAGUGUUGUGCUGAGUGAACAUAUAUUAAGCUGUUUGAAAGCUUUAGGAGACUGAAAAUAGGUAAGUAUUAGUUAAUAUUUCUGGAAUGAUAUUCAGAGAACUUUGUAUCAUUUUUGUAAGUGUGAAAGGUAACCUAAUUAGAACAGCUUGGCUCUUGUCGGCACACUUCUAGAUUUCAAAAUCAGAUUCUACUUACAGAGAGGAAAAAAAGAGUCCAAUAUGUUGAAUGGUAUUGAAAGUAUUGCAUAAAUAAAAGUCCAUCUUUGUAGACUAGCUUAUUGAAGUGAGGAAAGAAAAAAGCAUAUCUUUGUCUUGAAGGAGUAGAUAGUGACAUGUCAUGUUUAUUUCAGGAUAUUUAGGAUCUGGCCUAAUUCAAAAGAAUAUUUACGGAAUGCCCAUGUUAUUGCUGCUGCUGUCACCUUUACAAAAAAAUAAAAUGUAAAUUUUUUUAUUUCU